AUUGAACGCUGGCGGCAGGCCUAACACGUGCAAGUCGAGCGGAUGAAGGGAGCUUGCUCCUGGAUUCAGCGGCGGACGGGUGAGUAAUGCCUAGGAAUCUGCCUGGUAGUGGGGGAUAACGUCCGGAAACGGGCGCUAAUACCGCCUACGUCCUGAGGGAGAAAGUGGGGGAUCUUCGGACCUCACGCUAUCAGAUGAGCCUAGGUCGGAUUAGCUAGUUGGUGGGGUAAAGGCUUACCAAGGCGACGAUCCGUAACUGGUCUGAGAGGAUGAUCAGUCACACUGGAACUGAGACACGGUCCAGACUCCUACGGGAGGCAGCAGUGGGGAAUAUUGGACGAUGGGCGAAAGCCUGAUCCAGCCAUGCCGCGUGUGUGAAGAAGGUCUUCGGAUUGUAAAGCACUUUAAGUUGGGAGGAAGGGCAGUAAGUUAAUACCUUGCUGUUUUGACGUUACCAACAGAAUAAGCACCGGCUAACUUCGUG
rnacentral:rRNA from 1 species